CCUACGGGAGGCAGCAGUGAGGAAUAUUGGUCAAUGGACGAGAGUCUGAACCAGCCAAGUAGCGUGAAGGAUGACUGCCCUAUGGGUGGUAAACUUCUUUUAUAUGGGAAUAAAAUGUUCCACGUGUGGGAUUUUGUAUGUACCAUAUGAAUAAGGAUCGGCUAACUCCGUGCCAGCAGCCGCGGUAAUACGGCGGCUCCGAGCGUUAUCCGGAUUUAUUGGGUUUAAAGGGAGCGUAGUUGGGUUGUUAAGUCCGUUGUGAAAGUUUUCGGCUCAACCGGAAAAUUGCAGUUGAAACUGGCAGUCUUGAGUACAGUAGAGGUGGGCGGAAUUCGUGGUGUAGCGGUGAAAUGCUUAGAUAUCGCGAAGAACUCCGGUUGCGAAGGCAGCUCACUGGACUGCAACUGACACUGAGGCUCGAAAGUGUGGGUAUCAAACAGGAUUAGAUACCCUUGUAGUC
rnacentral:rRNA from 1 species